rnacentral:rRNA from 1 species
GGGGGUACACGAGUGGCGCACGGGUGAGUAACGCGUAUGCAACCUGCCCUGUACAGGGGGAUAGCCCGGAGAAAUCCGGAUUAAUACCCCAUAGUUUUUAUGAGUCGCAUGGCUUAUAAAAUAAAGUUUCGGCGGUACAGGAUGGGCAUGCGUGGCAUUAGCUAGUUGGUAAGGUAACGGCUUACCAAGGCGACGAUGCCUAGGGGUUCUGAGAGGAUGAUCCCCCACACUGGGACUGAGACACGGCCCAGACUCCUACGGGAGGCAGCAGUGAGGAAUAUUGGUCAAUGGGCGAGAGCCUGAACCAGCCAUCCCGCGUGCAGGAUGACGGCCCUACGGGUUGUAAACUGCUUUUAUGUACCAAGAAUAGGCGCUACGUGUAGUGUUAUGACGGUAGUACAUGAAUAAGCAUCGGCUAACUCCGUGCCAGCAGCCGCGGUAAUACGGAGGAUGCAAGCGUUAUCCGGAUUCAUUGGGUUUAAAGGGUGCGUAGGCGGUCUGAUAAGUCAGUGGUGAAAUGCUGCAGCUCAACUGUAGAACUGCCAUUGAAACUGUCAGACUUGAGUGCGCCUGAGGUAGGCGGAAUGAGUAGUGUAGCGGUGAAAUGCUUAGAUAUUACUCAGAACACCGAUUGCGAAGGCAGCUUACUAAAGCGUAACUGACGCUGAUGCACGAAAGCGUGGGGAGCGAACAGGAUUAGAUACCCUGGUAGUCCACGCCGUAAACGAUGAUAACUCGCUGUUGGCGAUACACAGUCAGCGGCUUAGCGAAAGCAUUAAGUUAUCCACCUGGGGAGUACGAUCGCAAGGUUGAAACUCAAAGGAAUUGACGGGGGCCCGCACAAGCGGAGGAACAUGUGGUUUAAUUCGAUGAUACGCGAGGAACCUUACCUGGGCUUAAA